GCGAUCAUGUGCCGAGCUGUAUUCUGGGGGAUGUGUGGCCCUUUAUAGGCUGAGCUGAGCAGUUUCAGAGCAAGAAGAGGAAAUAUUAAUUAGAAAGAGCAAGUUGAGGGUGGAAGAAACCAAGAAAACGCCUUUGAUGAUCUCGUGAAGGGGUCCUGCUUGACUCCAUGUCUGGGACUUCAUAUUCAGUUGUUUACACGAAAAGCAGGCAGAGUUUUGGGCGACUUUCAAACUAAGUUCCAGUGUUCAGCCGAGCAGCACAAACGAAAGGGAAACCAAGAAAAGCACAGUGCGGUGGGGAGAACCGAAAAAGAAAAGGAGAAUUAAAGAUGAGUAAAUGAAGGGCAACAAAUGGGAGGGAAACAUGAAAUAAACAUGGAAGAAAGCGGAGUAAAAAAAGAAAAGAAACCGAGAGGUGGACAGUAACAUCCUUUUCUCCCUUCAGAUUCCUUAUAAUAUCCUUCCCGAAAAAAGUUAUAUUCCCUGAGCUCGAGGCAUGAAAGGCUGAGAUAAAUGAGCUGCAUUGAUUAGCCCUGGGUCAAAGGUGGAGCCUCGAAAUGAAAACAGCACCAGACAAUUGAUUGACCUGCCUCUGUAAGCCACUGGAGAAUUGAAAGUAAUGGCAAGUAUCACAUAAACAUAUAUUGAUGAGAGUAGCUCUCCAAAAGGACACAAACAGGUUUUAUUGUCAUAAACAUAAUGCCACAUUCUCAUCACCAUCAUUUCACCUCAGCUUUUUGCCCUCAAUAAAAGACGUUACGACGAGAAAGGAGCGAGUCGAGUUACAUGACAGCCCGACAAGGUCAUUGCAGACACGAAUGGUAACGUCUGGUAACGUCUGCUUGUGUUGGAGGAUUAGGAGAAAUAAUAAAUAUGGAGGAGCUCUGAACAAAAACUAGCUUUUUCACUUAGUUGCACAAGCAGACUGUGAGGCGCAUUUGGUUGUUAUUGUGUGCGUGUGUGUGUAUGUGUGUGUGUACGUGUGCGUGUCUCCAUCCUGUUCCUUCAGCUCACUGAAGCAUCCAGUAUAAAUAAGCGUGUGUAAAGAAGUGUAAAGAAUCUGCUCUGCAUCAAUUAAAGAUGGAGACGGACAGAGGCAGCGCAGCAUGAGCACAGAGCAGCAGAGCAAGUGAGGCAUUAGUGGGGGGAGGGGAAGAAGGGCAGGCAUGCAGGAAAAAAAGACAGUAAAGGCGGAACAAUAUUGUCUAUAUAUAAGCCUGCGCCUCUUUCGGCUGUUGUUCAGACUUUUUCGCCCUCUUAAGGCCACAUGUUUUACGGGAGGAGCUUCUGUGAGUUUUAGGAAGGGGCCACAGGCUGUGUCAUCUGCUACGUCGUUACUGUCGCUGUGGUGUAAACAGUUAUCGCCAUGACAAUGCUAAGUGAGCCAAAGUCUCGUAUUUUUAAUCUUGACCUCGAUUCUGAAGUGAGGAGAAUACAGCUCUUAAAAUAGGCUCCAUCGCACAACCACCACCAGCCAAUAACCAAAUCCUCACAAAAUCCACAACGGAGUGUAAAUACCCAAUGAGGAGAAUACAGCACAGCAGCAGGUUGUGGAUGCAUUUAGGCUUUAAAGAAAGAGCUAAAUCAAAAGUCAUUAAGCAGAUCUCAAGCCUGAGAUAAUAACAUUUGAGAACACGCGUUAAUAAGAUGGGAUGCAUCCUCAUUAAAAAAAACUCAUUCAACAAAAAAUCUGAGAUUUAUUUGAUCGGUCAUUUCUCCAAAAAUAUACACACAUGAUGUUGUGCAGUGGGAUAACACACAUCCCAGUUCCACUGUCACAGCAGAGAUUUGACCGGGGUCCUUAGUUAGAGUAAUUUGGUAAACUACAAUAUGUAGGCCGUAUCUUUUACUGCAGCGUCUAAUGUGCACCACGCUCCAAAAAUGAUGCGAGUCCGAUUUCCUGCCAGAGCCUCUGUUGUUCCCAGACUAGAGGAGUGUGUAUAUGAGAGGCCAGACAGCUGACAUCAAUAUGAGUACGUGAACCGAGCACUCACCACAAAUCAGCCUUGAAUCAUUUUAAUUCAAUUCUUAGUCGUUUUUAUUUUGACAUUUAUUUCCCAGGAACAAAUCCUCCAUCCUCCACUUCACUGGCCUGUGUCAUGGAUACAGCUGCUAUCGGAGCACAGCAGCACGACUUCACAACAAGGCGACCGACACGAGUCAUCCAGACUGGCUUUAAACAAAUCCCAGAUUUAUGUUGUGUGAAGCACACAUUUGGAGGUGUAAACAAAAAAGCACACACUCAGUAAAAGAGCGGUAAAAUGACGCUCGGUGCAGUGGGUCAAGUUAAAUAAAGAACAUUUCACAGCAGUCUAUUUGCAAAACAACUCUAACUUUCAUCUUGAUUUUCACUUCUAAAUUUAGCACAUUAUAUAAAAUUGUUGAACUGUUGACUUAUUGAACACCAGACCAAGUCAUCUUCUGCUACACUAGAUGUAUUAGCACACAGUUUGUUAUGUAAACAGAUAUCUUGACGUCUCCUCUGGUCUUCAUCACUUGUGGUGAAGAGGAGUCAGUCAGUCAGACUGACAGCUGGAGACAAAGAUGCAACAUGUUAUCUGGUGAUUGAUAUAAUUUAGUAAUAGAAAUGCUCCCAGCAUACAGCACAUGUUGGGCUCUAAAUUUGUAGAGGUUCUCUACUGAUGAGGAUUCAGAGCUUGUUUAUGAAGUAUGACUGGGCAAUAGAUCGAUGUUAUAUUCAUAUUGUGAUCCUUUCAUGUGGCAGAAAUGUCGUGUCGUCAUGGUGUUAAAGGCUGCGUUACCGUCCAGGAGCCCAGGCCAGCCCAUCUUCCAAUGCACUGAUACAAUGCUAUAUUUCUAUUGGUAAAAAAUGCAUAUGAAUAUCACCAAAGAGAGAUAUGGACGGAGGGGAGGAAGCAUGCUGAGCCAGAAAGUUCAACAAUAGCAGCGUGGUAGCUGCUGAACAGAUAAACAAGAAGAAGACUGCCUAUGAAUCCUCUUCGUCACUUAAGUCAGUCGUGUGACAAUAUUAUCGUGUUCCCCAUUGCACAUAACACUUACAUAUUCAUAUCGCAAAACAGCACUGUGCUUUCUGAGCCACGCACACAUUUGUUUGUGCAACUAAUGACAUCAAAAUGUCAGUACACAUGUGCCAAUAUCCUGAGGACACAGACGCUAAGAAGCCGCCAGCCCGUCUGGCUGCAAUGCAACCAGCCUCAUGCAACACACCUGCUUACAAUUAAAAGUUAAACACGGCGCCUUAAAGCAUCUCCAUAUUUGCAUAUGCAGUGAUUUGGGCAAAGAAGGUGAUGCACUUUUCAUCCUUUACAGUAGUGUAUUGAACACAAUGUUUUAAAUAUGACUUUGAAGUUCAAGUUUGACUGUAAAAAGAAAGAAAAUUGACUUAAGCUGACUUCAUCCUGGGAAAAGGAAUUACAUUCCAAGGACGUCCCAAGAACUAAAUCUAAAAGAGUCUUUGGUGCCAACCUCACAAGGAGAGAGUGGUUAACUCUCAACGGGAUUGUCCGGAGCACUGGUCACUUCUCACAGAUGGGCAUAAGCCCAAUCCCCCAGGGUGCCACUGGAGAGCAACAAACAAUGGACCAAAUGCUUGUCCUCUCAGCUAAAGCAGGAUUAGUCUCCAUCCAUGCGGCACGAUAACGAGGCGAUUGUUUGUCUUUGGGACUCAGCUCUGGCUGUAUAUAUGAAAGAAGGACACUGGCUCUGAAGGCAGAAAGUCAGUACAUGCCUCAAGGAAGGGACACACACCAUAAGCCAUGUGCAGAACAUUCUCUUCUACAGCAUCUCACUAUAGUGUGUUGUGUUGUAAUCAAAAGAAGGCAGCAAUAGAUAUGUGAAAUGGUAUAAUAUAACUCCCAAACAACUAGUGUCAGGUUUUAUAAUUUCACCUUUGUAUGCAAGAUGAACUAGAAUGGGCACUCGGUAGAGCGCAUACCUUCGCAUAUCCCAAGAUUGGGCAUUGAAUUAUGAACAUUUUGGCAUUAGUUGCAUGCCAAUUGGAUAAAAAUUGACCGCGCUAUGGUAAAAAUAAGAUGUUGACCUUUUCAUGACCUUUACCUAGACCUUUGACCCGAUCGAUCCCAAAAUCUAAUCAAAUAGUCCGCGGAUAAUAACCAAUCAUCCCACCAAAUUUCAUGCGAUUCGGUGUAAUACUUUUUGACUUAUGCGAAUAACACGCACGCAUACAAAUACACGGCGAUCAAAACAUAACCUUCCGCAUUUUCAAUGCGAAGGUAAUGACACAUGAACAGUAUCAUACAGCAAGCACCUCCCGAUACCAUAGGUUUCAUAUCGUGAGGUGAGGUACUCGCCGAUACAAACAUACAAUGUGCUUGCCAAUAGACAAAUAUAGUAUGUAAAUAUAUAUACAUACACAGCCCUGUACAGGAAUUUAACAGGAACAGUAUGAGAACUAAAAUGACAAAACGUGUAGCACAGUUUUGCAGCAGUCAUAUUCCUUUAAUGGAAAAAGAAUUGAAAUUGUAUUUUCAUUCUUCCUCAUGUUGUGCUUUUCUGAAAAUAAGGAGAACAUGGCAACAUCUCAAUCCAGUCUCAGCAGUGAUUUGUGUUUCUCUCGUCGACUCACCUCAAACACGGUGCUGUUUACAGUCAACAUGCCAGAAUAAAUGCACGUGUUCUAACCUCCUACAGCAUUUGGCUUUAUCUCAGACAUUGAGGGAUAACACUGAUUUUAGAGACUCAAACAACAAACAGCCUUUAUUUCUUGUAAAUAUUUCACUCAAAAUCAAGCCUGCUGCACCACAUGGGUUCACCUGAAGUGCAGCAUGAGGCUCUGUGAGGUUUCAAAUGGCCUUCCAAGCCAUCUGUGGGCUGUAUCUUGUUAACACAAUAUGGACCAGGAGUAUAUGAACGUUAUGGUGUGAUGCCGUGCUGUGUUUGCUUCUUGCUUUAGCGACCAUUUCAUUUUUGCCUCCAGCUAUGCAGUUCCCCAGCGAGGCAGCGACCUCUUGCCCUGCCGGCAUUAAGUGCUUUUCAGAAUUUGCGAGCUUCAGAUGAAAAAGCCUUAAUAACAAGAUAGACAAAGUAUAAAAUGUCUGUUUAUUCCUGGUUUUUAGAGCAAAAAUAAAGAUUUCCCGCUAGGAUGUGACCACCCAGCAACGAGCAGGCGUUUAGAAGGGAGGGGCGCAGACGAGCCCUCUUAAAAGCUUCAGCCUUGUUUAAGAGGCUGCAUUAUUGAUAGUGCAUCUGUGGUCUGAAAUAGGACCAGAGCCAGAGAGAGAGAGAGAACAAGUUUGAAGACAUCAAAUGUUGAGAGAGAAACCGUGAUUUAGACCAACACAAAUGUAACGACGUGCAUAUUCCACAAAAACAAUAGAAACACAAGAUUUAUAAUGCAAAGUAAUUGACUAGGACAUACAAACUGCCUUCCAGUCAUUUCUAUCAACAUCAGAAUCAGAAAUCAGAAUCAGAAACAGAAUCAGAAU